rnacentral:rRNA from 1 species
AUUGAACGCUGGCGGCAGGCCUAACACAUGCAAGUCGAGCGGAGCGGCGGACGGGUGAGUAAUGCCUAGGAAUCUGACUGGUAGUGGGGGAUAACGUCAGGAAACGGGCGCUAAUACCGCAUACCAUAAGAUGAACCCAUAGGGGAUUGGCUGUGAGGUGGGGUAACGGCGCAGCGAGGCGACGAUCCCUAGCUGUGCUGAGAGGAUGAUCAGCCACACUGGGACUGAGACACGGCCCAGACUCCUACGGGAGGAAGCAGUGGGGAAUAUUGCACAAUGGGCGCAAGCCUGAUGCAGCCAUGCCGCGUGUAUGAAGAAGGCCUUCGGGUUGUAAAGUACUUUCAGUCGGGAGGCGUUACCGACAGAAGAAGCACCGGCUAACUCCGUGCCAGCAGCCGCGGUAAUUC